rnacentral:misc_RNA from 1 species
UUUUCGUAGGUGAACCUGCGGAAGGAUCAUUAGUGAAUUCAUCAAGGCCGUGGGUUGGCUUUGCAAAAGGCUCCAGCCCGGCCGAACCACUAUUUUCACACACUUGUGCACCUGUUCAUUUUUCGAUUGAUCUUAACCCGUCGAUCGAUUAAUACCCUUUACAAUACUCUUGUGCAUUGUCGCAAACAGUUGUAGAAACAAACCAAGUUGAUAAACGAAAGAAAAACUUUCAGCAAUGGAUCUCUUGGCUCUCGCAUCGAUGAAGAACGCAGC